GACAGAGGGUGCAACCGUUGUUCGGAAUUACUGGGCGUAAAGCGAGUGUAGGCGGUUCGGUAAGUCGGAUGUGAAAGCCCCGGGCUCAACCCGGGAAGUGCACUCGAUACUGCCGAGCUAGAGUAUCGGAGAGGUUGGUGGAAUUCUCGGUGUAGAGGUGAAAUUCGUAGAUAUCGAGAGAAACACCGGUGGCGAAGGCGGCCAACUGGACGAAUACUGACGCUGAGACUCGAAAGCGUGGGGAGCAAACAGG
rnacentral:rRNA from 1 species